rnacentral:tRNA from 1 species
CCCUGGUUAGCUCAAUCGGCAGACCGCUGUACUAGAGAUGGAGAGAACCCGGGUUUGAUACCCGGACCAGGCG